CCGAGUUUACAACUCCCAAACCCUGUGAACAUACCUAUAUGUUGCCUCGGCGGAUCAGCCCGCGCCCCGUAAAACGGGACGGCCCGCCGCAGGAUCCACAAACUCUGUUUUUAUUGUAACUUCUGAGUAACAAAACAAAUAAAUCA
rnacentral:misc_RNA from 1 species